ensembl:lncRNA
UUCACCUUGACACAUUGAAUAAAUAAUAAAGGGAAAAUAGCAGCAAAGAAAAGCCUCUCAAACCUGAUAAAGCUUAAUCCAAAUUUUCAGGGAUGGGAGACAGUGGGAGGGUGAUUCAUUGAGAAGGAAGCUACCACUGAAGAGCUGAGAAGGGAGGAGGGGGCAAUGUGAACUUCUGAAACAGGUCCCCGGUGGGUUCAAACAACCACAGAAUGCUAUUAGCUUUGGCUGGCACACUUGUGUUGGUCCAUAUCUGGAGUCCUGGACUCAGUUCUGGACACCCCCUUUAAAGGGAUGUUGACUAAAUCAAGAUUGUCCAGAGGAGGAGAUGUGAAAGAUAAAGACUCGCCAGGAUGGUGUCAAAAAAAAAUAUAUAUAUAUGACCACUUUGUGUGGUAGGCCCAAGUCUGCCAGAAAUGAUUUUUUAAAACUAUUUAACAUCUUAAAUCCAAGCAUUUCUAGCCUAAAAAGAGAAAUGUCAAAACUGGCAGAAGCUAUACUGAUACUCCAAAACAUCUCUCUACUCCAAGACAAUCUGAAGCAACAUUUAAAAGAAUCCUGAAAUAAGAAAGGAUCAAAAAAGUUAAAAUAUAGCUUUUUGGUUGGGGGGGAGGGGUGUCAAGAACUAUUUAGGUCUUUCCUAUACCAAUCCCCCAAGGGAUUGAGAAGCCUUCUUAUAAUCAAGAAGAAGGUCUUGUCUGGAGCUGGGCCACAAGGAUAAUCACUUCAAGAGUUGGGGAAAAGAACAAGAUUUCUGCACUUAAUUCAUUUAGAUUUUGGUUUGUUGUUGUUAUUGUUUGUUCUUAGCUUUCUGCGUCCUUUCCUAAAGAGAAAAGUAUGGAAAGGGUAUUAAGCUGGAGAAAUAUAUUUUCUUACUGUUUUUGGUUAAACAGAAGAAGAAUGAGGCUGAUUCUUUGGGACCCCAAGAGGGUGAUCUAGAAGCAGUGGGUAGGAAUUAUAAGGAAGCACCUUCUGAACAGGUAUUCUUGUGCAGUUUGGACCAGACAGCUUCUACAAAGAUCUCUUCCAGUUCAGAUUCUCCAAAAACUGGUCCAAGCUAUGGGGAGGACAAGGGAUGUAAAAUAUGGCCCUUGCUGAAUCUAUGGGACCAUGGGGUAGAAAUCAGGGACCCUCAGAGUUUUAAAAAGGGAGAACUGAGAAAAGAGGAAGAUUUCCUGGAAGAGAAAGAAUUCCAACUAAGUUUUGAAGAGAGCAUAGGAUUGCAAUAGGUUUAAGAGAGAAGGGAUGGUAUUUCUUGGGCAACUAGAGAGACCAAGACAAAAUGAAAUCAUCCCUACCCUCAAGGAGCUUACAUUCUAGAGGGGAUCACAUAAAAGUACUGACACACUAUAUACAAAAUAAACACAAGGUAAUUUGGUGAGGAAGCCCUAGUGGGGAAAGGCUUUUCCUUUUUCCAUUUCCCUAUAGGGAAUGACUUCUGAGCUGAGCUUUGAAGAAAAGCAGGGAAUCGGAAGGAUGGGACACAUUCCAUGCAUCUGGAACAGCCAAUCGAAGUGCUCAGGAGACAGAGAAAUAAUAAGAAAUCCAGGAAAACUGGAUCUUAGAGAGCAAGAAAGGCAGAAAUAUUUAAGUCUGACUAAGGAUUUUGGAUGCCAAACAGAAGCACUGGUACAGCAAACAAUCCUGUACCUAUAUGGUACUGGCAUCUGGCUUAUCCCUCGGACACCCCCCCACACCCACACCCACCCCCAGCUCCUGCCAGCUCCCAUCACUAACAGCAUGCCAUAAUACCAUAAUAAACCACCACAGUCAGUUAUGAAAGCUUCCUUAGCUGAUGAGAUAAACCUGAAAAGCUUGUUCGCAAACAAAAUUAACACGUGGGAGAAAAGGGGGAGUCUAGACCGACUAUGGAAAAAAAAAAACCUUUAUAUCAAAUAUCUUUAACAAAGAGUUUGAUUUCCAAAAUAUAAAGGCAGUUAAUAGAAACCUUACACCAAAAGCCAUUUCUCACCAAUAGAUAAGUGGUCAAAGGAUAUGAGCUGCUCUCAAAAAAAUACUGUAACAUGUAUAAUCUAUAUUAAUUUAAUAUAGAUUACUUACUGUUUUGGGGUGGAAAAGGAAGGAAAAGAAGAAGAGAGA